rnacentral:rRNA from 1 species
GAAUGACUCUCGGCAACGGAUAUCUAGGCUCUUGCAUCGAUGAAGAACGUAGCGAAAUGCGAUACUUGGUGUGAAUUGCAGAAUCCCGUGAACCAUCGAGUCUUUGAACGCAAGUUGCGCCCGAUGCCAUUCGGUUGAGGGCACGUCUGCCUGGGCGNUCACAUA